GACGAACCGUGCGAACGUUGUUCGGAUUCACUGGGCUUAAAGGGCGCGUAGGCGGGCUGUCAAGUCGGGGGUGAAAUCCCACCGCUCAACGGUGGAAGUGCCCCCCGAUACUGGGAGCCUGGAGGGAGGUAGGGGUGUGUGGAACUUCCGGUGGAGCGGUGAAAUGCGUAGAUAUCAAGAGGAACACCAGUGGCGAAGGCGAGUCCCUGGACGAUACCUGACACUGAGGCACGAAAGCUAGGGGAGCAAACAGG
rnacentral:rRNA from 1 species